rnacentral:rRNA from 1 species
GACGAACGCUGGCGGCGUGCUUAACACAUGCAAGUCGAACGAAGAGCGAUGGAAGCUUGCUUCUAUCAAUCUUAGUGGCGAACGGGUGAGUAACGCGUAAUCAACCUGCCCUUCAGAGGGGGACAACAGUUGGAAACGACUGCUAAUACCGCAUACGAUCUAAUCUCGGCAUCGAGGAUAGAUGAAAGGUGGCCUCUACAUGUAAGCUAUCACUGAAGGAGGGGAUUGCGUCUGAUUAGCUAGUUGGAGGGGUAACGGCCCACCAAGGCGAUGAUCAGUAGGCGGUCUGAGAAGAUGAACGGCCACAUUGGGACUGAGACACGGCCCAGACUCCUACGGGAGGCAGCAGUGGGGAAUCUUCCGCAAUGGACGAAAGUCUGAAGGAGCAACGCCGCGGGAGUGAUGACGGCCUUCGGGUUGUAAAGCUCUGUUAAUCGGGACGAAAGGCCUUCUUGCGAAUAGUGAGAAGGAUUGACGGUACCGGAAGAGAAAGCCACGGCUAACUACGUG